rfam:Salmo salar isolate Sally breed double haploid chromosome ssa12, whole genome shotgun sequence.
UGCAUUCACUACUGUAAGUCGCUCUGGAUAAGAGCGUCUGCUAAAUUACUUAAA